UUUUCUAAACUCUCCAAGUUCUCAUUUAGUUCAACACACCGUUGAUACUGAAAAACCAUCUGUCUCAUAAUUGAAUCCAGCAUUACUUCUGAAUCUAACGAUCGUGCAGGAGUCGUAGCAAAAGUAGCACCACGUACGACAAUUCUCACUUGGGCAGAUACCUUUUGAUGCACUAUUUCAUCUUCAUUGUAUAUAUCAACACCAAAGUCCACGAUAUCGCCUGAAUUUAAUUUGCAAGGAGCUGAAGGCUUGUUUUCAGGCGACAGUCGGGUUUCGUUCACAAAAGUCCCGUUGGAAGAUUUAACGUCUCGAAUGUACACAGAAAGGGUGUCCUUAUCAAGCCAUAACUCGGCGUGUUGACGGCUAAGUACUUUAGAAUUAAAAAAGAGAUUAGAGGGACUAGGUGAAGUUGACUUGUUGGUGUGUCGUCCAAUUUUAUAAAUCGUUGAAGGAGAAAUAACCAAUUUCUUCGUUUGAAAUGAUUCAUUUAAUGGAGUCAAUGUAAUUACGGCAGACAUACCAUUCAGGGUGAAAGUUGAAACGUAUCAAAUGGGCGGAUGUCGAAAGACGGUAGUAGAAGGAAAUUGAAUGUCGAGAGCGAAAUUGUCCUUUUUAACCGUUGCGAUCA